UGCAAGCCUAGAGCUAUUGGAAACUCACCUGGCUUCAGAUGCCAUUAUAAACUGAGUUUGGUUCAGGUCACUGCGAGGGACAGGAAAUGUUGGAGCAGAAUCAAACUUUCUCUCUUUGGCAGGAACCACUUUUAAGCCCUGAUUAUUUAAAAUACAUCAAUUCAAACAUUUGGGGUGAAAUCCAUCACCAGGCUAAGAAGUGUAAAUGCAAGUAUCUACAUGUUGCUCUCUAAACGUCGAUGAGGUGUGUACACUUGCAUCACCUUUGGAGCAGGUCAAGCCAAUAUGACAGCCUAGAAAAUUAAAUAUUCAGCUGGCCUACCUUUGUGUGUCUAGUUUUAGGAGAGCUGAACUGCACAGGGUACUUAGGAGGUGGCAGCUGGAGACUAAAUUGAAUGACCUCAGGGUGUGUUAAAUGGCAUCAAACCUCCAUAUCAGGGGAGCUGAACAGACCUUUUUUUUUUGGUUUGUUUCCUGGAAUCAGUUUUACCACGUUCCACUCAUGUUGAACUUUCCUACCUACCUGGCAUUAGCCUUAAUCCAGUUUUACCUUACACAUCAGCAAGAUCAGAAUUAUUCAGUGGUGAGCAUCAUGGAUAAUCUAAUACACAUUUUAUUAUAGGAGAUUCCCUCAGAUUAAAUAAGCACAUUCACAUGAUGAAGCUUAUGAUCUUCCCCAACCACUUAGUUUCCUUCACUGGGGACUUUAACUUGUCUAUCUAAUUCUAAGAGAGAUAAUAAACAGUGUCCACAACUGAAAAGAUAACAAAUCUCAUCAUAAAUUAAUAAAGAAAGAAGUCCCCCCGUUCUCAUUUAACAGAGAGUGGAAAAGGACAGAGAACAAUUAAUGAGCAGUGACACUUAGGAGAUUUCCAGGUAUCCAGAAACAGAAUUGAGUCCUUUGAAACCUGUUUUUCUGCCUUAGCCACCAGCCCAUGUACUUCCUCAGACAUCUGCUAAGUUUCUCAGCAGUAACAACAAUUAGAAAAGGCACAGAAAUCACUUAAUUAAUCUCCAUAGAAUUUUUUGUUGUUUGGUAGGAUGUGGGAGAGAAGAAAUAAGAAAAGGAAGAGCAGAACUGAAGGAAGAAAAAAGACAAUAACCAAAUGUUUCAGGCAGUGGUCUAAGCUCUGAGGAACACAGGUUAAGUCACUGCUUGGCAUAAUUUACAGUAACUUGAGGUGAAAACCUCUUCAGGCAAAGUGAAUAUCCAUGAAUCCGACCUCCUCUGCUUUCAGGAUAGACAGACUUGCAUUUAGGGAUAAUCUUCUGCAAAAAUGUGGUUCUUAUAAAAAGAAAAAGGAGGCGACAGGGGACCUAAGGUAGUUUCAUAAACAUGAAAUUGUUGUCCUCCAUUCUUAUCAUCAGUGCUGAGCUCUGCUACCACAGAAAAGAUGAGUUUGCAGCAGCUCCCAUAUAUACUUAUUCUAAAGCUUGUACUAGGUCAUCUGCUGCUCUCAGCUACAGAUAUAUAUUGCAGUGGCAGCCAAAUAAAGGUCAUUUGUCAGAGCACAGUGAGAGUGGGGGUGAUUAUUGGGCCUUGAUUACAACUGUAAUACAAAUAAAGAAUAUUAAUAAGCUAAAUUACAUUCUGACUCCUUUUACUGUAGCUUUGCAAGAAGAAAAAAAAAGCCUACUAGAUUGUGAAGGCAUUUUACUAAUGGUUAAUGAAUAUUUAUUACUUUUGAAGUAGAAGGCUGUGUCAGGAUGCCACAUAGCCCUCUGUAUGAAUGGUUUAUUCUCGUAUUUUUCUUUCCAUCAACAGCCUUCAUCAUGAUCUGAAAGAAUUAUUCCUUCUUUUAAUUUCAGGCUGCAUGGAUAACAAAGAUUCUGUUUGGAAAGGCCUGGGAGAGAGCACAGCAUUUCCAAACUUCGUGAUAAAGCUGGUGAAAAAUCCCAAACAUCCCACUCUGUAUUUGGACCACUGGAGAUUGAGGACACUGGAAGGCAAAGUGACAUUCCCAGUGGUUCAUUAGAUCUAGGGGACAUGAAGAUGGAAAAAUAUCACAGAGGCUCAGCAAAUAUAUAAAUAUGAAAGACUGUGUAAGCCUGAAGGAAAGUUCUCACAGAGUUUGGAUGACUUCUGGCAAGGAAUUUUGAGAGAGACCUUAGAAGUUCCCUGUUUGGUUCCUACAACAGGGAAAAAAUGCAUAUAUUUACAUAUGCUUUGUGAUUAUUCUCUACAUAGUUGACCCAAACCAUGCACAUAAGUACAAAAAAUAUUUUAACUUCACUCCUAUAUGAAAGUCUUCCACGUGACACAAUCCUUGAUUAUAACACAGAAAUUAUUUCAAGGGUUGUAAAUCAGUUCCCUCUCCCCCAGAAGAGAUUUCUUGACAACCGUGUUAAAAAAUCAGGCUCCUCACUAUGUGUUGACUUCAUGACUGUUUUUUCUUUGGUCAUCCAUAUCCCAAGUUUAUAACCUCGUGGUUGGAAAAGUGCCCUAGGAAAUUGAAAAUGUGUAUAGGAGAUUUUGUAAGUUUAAGAGAAUUGAAACUCCCAGUUUUGGCAGGUAACAAGCUGGGCUGCAUAACUUUAAGGACACCAAGAAAAGUCUCUCCCUUUCUAUCAGACCAAGUGCCUAAAUUCCAGAAAGGAAUGAGAAGUCAGGUACAUGUGCUAUUAAAUGAUUGUAAACAGCCUUGUCUCUAGGCCUGGCUGGUUCCUUAUAGACAGCAAAUUUUCUGUGUUUUUUGUAUGAGGACAUUUUGGGUCAUGGUGCUAACUAUAAUUUUAUUCACACCUAAAUAUAACUAAAUAUGAAACAUUCAUAUAUGAUUUUUUUUAUUUUUUUUUACUACAUAGCUUUUGAUAUUCUUUACUUUGUCAUCAGAAAUCUCCUUUUCUGUUUGGUUCCCUGAUACUACAAGCUGCAAACCCAACACAGACUCUGAGCCUUCUCUUGUCUCCAUUCUGUAGUCAUGGAAUAAAAAUGUUAAACUGGCCAUUUGGGGCCAGGUUACUCUUCUAAUAGUAACUGUAUCAUGGAUUAUUUAGAAAAAUAUGUCUUUAAGAUGAUUCUGCUUACAGUGGCCCAUGAUAUAACUAAAGAGAAGAUUGUUUUAAAAUUAUUAUCAAUUUGGAUUCUCUAAAUAAAGGCACUUGAAGGUAUCCUGCUUUUCAGAGAACAGGACUUCACAGUCAUCUAAAAGUGGAAAUACCUAAAGUCAACAGUCUAUUUUCAAUACUUAGGCCUGACUUACCAGGGAAAACAAUCUUUAUGAGCAAUAAUGUUUGUUAAAAUAAAUCUUCAAAGCCUGUUGAGAUA